CCUACGGGUGGCAGCAGUGAGGAAUAUUCGUCAAUGGCCGGAAGGCUGAACCAGCCAUGCCGCGUGAAGGUCAGUGCCCUAUGGGCGUUAAACUUCUUUUGUGCGGGAGCAAUAAUGGUCACGUGUGGCCACACGCGAGUACCCGCAGAAUAAGCAUCGGCUAACUCUGUGCCCGCAGCCGCGGUAAUACGGAGGAUGCGAGCGGUAUCCGGAUCUAUUGGGGUUAAAGGGUGCGGAGGCGGAUUGUUAGGUCAGUGGUAAAAUGUCCGGGCUCAACCCGGGCCGGCCGUUGAAACUGGGGAUCUUGAGUGGGAGAGAGGUAUGCGGAAUGCGUGGUGUAGCGGUGAAAUGCAUAGAUAUCACGCAGAACUCCGAUUGCGAAGGCAGCAUACCGGCGCCCGACUGACGCUGAGGCACGAAAGCGUGGGGAUCGAACAGGAUUAGAUACCCCUGUAGUC
rnacentral:rRNA from 1 species